GUCCACGCUGUAAACGAUGAAUACUAGGUGUGGGAGGACUGACCCCUUCCGUGCCGCAGUUAACACAAUAAGUAUUCCACCUGGGGAGUACGACCGCAAGGUUGAAACUCAAAGGAAUUGACGGGGCCCGCACAAGCAGUGGAUUAUGUGGUUUAAUUCGACGCAACGCGAAGAACCUUACCAGGACUUGACAUCCAACUAACGAAGUAGAGAUACAUUAGGUGCCCUUCGGGGAAAGUUGAGACAGGUGGUGCAUGGUUGUCGU
rnacentral:rRNA from 1 species